GUAGGUGGCAAGCGUUGUCCGGAAUUAUUGGGCAUAAAGCGCGCGCAGGCGGUUCUUUAAGUCUGAUGUGAAAGCCCACGGCUCAACCGUGGAGGGUCAUUGGAAACUGGAGAACUUGAGUACAGAAGAGGAAAGCGGAAUUCCACGUGUAGCGGUGAAAUGCGUAGAGAUGUGGAGGAACACCAGUGGCGAAGGCGGCUUUCUGGUCUGUAACUGACGCUGAGGCGCGAAAGCGUGGGGAGCAAACAGGAUUAGAUACCCUGGUAGUCCACGCCGUAAACGAUGAGUGCUAAGUGUUAGGGGGGUUUCCGCCCCCUUAGUGCUGCAGCUAACGCAUUAAGCACUCCGCCUGGGAGUACGGCCGCAAGGCUG
rnacentral:rRNA from 1 species